GCGGCCGCGACGGUUGCGCGGCGAGCGCCUACGCCGGCCGCUCGAGGCCGGAGCAGCGGCUUCCGCACACAUCGAUGCGGAUUAGCGUCGGCGGGAUGAUGCGCACGCGCAGGCGCACACCGGGGCCGCCGCCGUGGGCGUCGUGGGUGGACGCGCCCCCCCCCCCCCCCCCGGGCGGGGGGAGGGUUCCCGGGGUCCCCGUCCCUCCCCGGGGCCGGGUGAGAGGCCUCGCGUCGUGCUGCCGCCGGAGGACGCGGGCUUCGCUCGGUCGGGGCGCGGUUGUCAGCCCGCGAGCCGCUGGGCUCGAGCCCGGACGAGCUUCCUGCGCGUCCCGGGCCCUGGGCGGCUCCGUGGCCGGCGCUCACGGCCGCACGGGCAGCUGGACCCGCUCCUCAGGUGGUACUUCCAGAUGGCCAGGUGACAACGGAGCCCUACCAAACAAGUCCCAGGAAAAUGUACAAACUCCACAUGAAGUUUUAUAGGCUUCUGAGGAAGUGACUCCUACCAGGAAGAUACAAAAAAAGUUCCUAUUUUGCAGUUUGGAUCUCUUCUCCCAUAAAACUUCCUCAGUGGUGAAUAACUCAAGUUGUUGGGGCAGCAUAAUAGAGGGCCUGGCAGAGAAGUGGUGAGAACAAAGCCUGUUUGGGAUUGGACAGGUUGACCUCUCACCCAGACAGGCUCCCAGAAAUCUUAUAUGGCCUUCCCUGCCCUGGAUACAGCCAGCCACAAACACUUCAG
rnacentral:lncRNA from 12 species